rnacentral:tRNA from 1 species
GGUCUUAUAUUUUAAGAAGAAUAUCAGAUUGCAAGUCUGACAGUGUAUAAUUACUAAGACUU